UGUGGAAGUUUGAGCUUAAGAGUCAUAAUGUGCAGUAUCUGGUAGAAGAAAUUUCUAAGCAGUAAUGUUUAGCAUUCAAGAUGUGCUGUGGCUGCUUCUAACUGCCUAUUAUCAGAUGUCAGAGCAAAGUAAUAACUUAAAGCCUUGACACCCAGUUCAUACAAAUUAUAUGGCAUUUUGCAAAUUUAAAACCUAAAUGUGUUAAUAACUGAUUUAAUUGACUCACAGUUCCAAAUGGCUAGGGAGCCCUCAGGAAACGCACAGUCAUGGUAGAAGGGGACACAGUCAUGUGUUACAUGGCAGCAGGUGAGAGAGAGAGCAAAGGGGGAAGAGCCCCUUAUAAAACCAUCAGAUCUCAUGAGAACCCACUUAGUGUCAUGAGAACAGCUUAGGGGAAACCACCCCUAUGAUCCAGUCAUCUUCUGCCAGGUCCCUCCCUUGAUACAUGGGGAUUACAAUUUCCUGUGGCCUCUCAUAUUUUACAUCCAACAUCUCCCAGUCCUUGUGUCACUCACUUAGGCAGUGUCUUACUUCUUUCUGCUCACUGUCCAUUAUUUGUUUUUUUGGCAGCAACUUGAGCUGCAUCGCUCAUAUACUGCAGAGAUUUUAGCCAGUGUAUGCAAACCUACCAAUUAGAAUCUAUAAAACAAACCAUUGAACAGUUUUUCAAUGUGGCAUUAAAUUAGAGCUAGUUUUGUGUUUUCUGCAUUUUUUUGUUUUGUUUUUGUUGUUGUUAUCAUCUACACUAUUAGUCUGAAAAACUUACAUUGCUGCCUAGCCUGUUUUGGUAAUUACUGUAAGUUUUUAUUUGACAAUCAGUGUUUAAAAUGAACAUCUCUGGAAAAUUAUUUUAUAUCUAAUUUUGUUUUAGAUUAUAUCUGAAAAGUAGUAGAGAAUCUUUCAAAAUAGAAGCCCUAUUUUGCAUAUCUUUUUAUAAGGUAAAAAAAGUGUGUCCCAUUAGAAGUAUAAUGGUAUAUGAUCUAUAUUUAUAUCAUACAUUUUAUUUCUUCCUUGUCUGAUUGCUCUGUCUAGAACUUCCAGUACUAUGUUGAAUAGGUACAGUUAAAGUGGGCAUCUUUGUCUUGUUCCAGUUAUUAGAGGAAAGGUUUUCAGCUUCUCCCAGUCUUGAAUUGAGUCCUUUAGCAUUAUGUAAUGCCCUUCUUUGUCUUUUUUGAUCUUUGUUGGUUUAAAGUCUGUUUUGUCCAAAACUAGGAUUGCAACCACUGCUCUUUUCUGUUUUCCAUUUGCUUGAUAAAUUUUUCUCCAUCCCUUUAUUUUGAGCCUAUGUGUGUCUUUGCACAUGAGAUUGGUCUCUUGAAUACAACAUACUGAUGGGUCUUGGCUCUUUACCCAGCUUGCCAUUCUCUGUCUUUUAAUUGGAGCAUUUAGCCCAGUUACAUUUAUGGUUAAUAUUGUAAUAUGUGAACUUGAUCCUGUCAUGAUGCCAGCUGGUUAUUUUGCAGACUUGUUUAUGUAGCUGCUUCAUCGUGUCACUGGUCUGGGUACUUCAGUGUGUUUUUGUAGUGGCUGGUAACAGUUUUUUCUUUCCAUAUUUAGUGCUUCCUGCAGGAUCUGUUGCAAGGCAGGCCUGGUGGUGGUGAAUUCCCUCAGCA
rnacentral:lncRNA from 10 species